UGACAACUUUUUUAAAAAAAGAAAAGUACAAGCAAAAACAGAGUAGAUGUGUGUAGCCAUUAGAACAUCAGAAAGAAACAUAAAAUUAUUUAAUUAUAUUUUUUUGACUGCGCAUUUUACCAGAAAUAAAAUACGCAAUUAAAAAUGCUAAGCCAGGGAGUUCCCUGGUGGCUCAGCGGGUUAAGGAUCCUGCAUUGUCACUGCUACAGUUCAGGUUUGAUCCCUGGCCUGGAAACUUCUCCAUGCUGCAGGUGCACCAGAGAAAAAUUAAUUUUAAAAUUGCUAAGGCUAUUUAUUAUUUAUAUGGCUUAAAAAGCUGGAGUUCUAGUUAAGUAAUUCAGCAACAGCACUUUCAUUUGUAUGGAGACAUUCUUUUCAAUUUCAUCAUAAAUUAUUUUGCCAAGUUCUUCCAAGAGCUCUGGGAGGUUAGUAGAGCAUUUACUCCUACUUGACAGAUAAGGAAGUUGUCAUCUAGAGAGUUUGCCAGAGGAAAUACAGUAAGUCAGUGACAAAACUAGAAAAUGAGUUCAGGUGCCCCAACUCCCUGUGCAUUUUUGUUUCAUAGGAUCAUCUCUCAUUGAUUAGCCUUCUCACUGUUUAUCAUGUUAACUUUCUAACCUUGCUGAGUGGCCGUAAUUCUCAAGGAAUAUCAUUGGUUUUUGUAAUUCAUGAUGUGAUUAUUGAAAAUGAAUUUUCCAAAUAGAAAGCAUUAGUGCACAGAAAUUCUGAUAGCUGGACUGGGUUCCAGUAGUUCUCAUUCAAGAAAUGUAGGUCCGUUUUGUCUUUUAUUUAUUUAGCUUCCAUUUUAACUCUUUGACUUUUGUGUGCUUAUUGGAAGAGAACUGGAUGACAACCUUGAGGCCUGUCUCUCUUAGCCAUGUCCUCUACGUGACUCUGGAUAUUCUCCUCUAACCUGAGUGGCAUCAUAGAUAAAACUGAAAAUAACAUCUACUUUUCCUGCUUUACCAGGCUUUUUGUGAUGAACAACAGUAAGUUGAUAUUAUGGGAAUCAAACUUGGUGAAUUGUAAAGCACACCACCAAGGUAAGACAUUAUUAUUUCCUUAGUACCACAGAAAAGAUAAAGAAAUAACUCUUUGACUAAUAUAAGGAAGACAGUAAAAGGGCAUUUAAGACAUUUGAGCUUUUAGUUGUUGUUAGGAUUCAUUUGCUUGGCUGAUAAGUUAACCUUUAAUAAAAAAAUUUCAUGUAGGAAUUCCCGUCAUACCUCCGUGGAAACGAAUCUAACUGGCAUUCACGAGGACGCACGUUCGAUCCCUGGCCUCGCUCAGUGGGUUAGGAUCCAGCAUUGCCAUGAGCUGUAGUGUAGGUCGCAGAUGCACCUUGGAUCUGGCAUUACUGUGGUUGUGGUGUAGGCUGGCAGCUGCAGCUCCGAUUUGACCCCUAGCCUGGGAACUUCCAUAUGCUGUGGGUGAGGCCCUAAAAAGAAAAAAAUUUUUCGCCAUGAAAGCAAGUUAAGGGUGCUUAACACCAGUUAGAGCAAGAUGAAAUUCCUAGUAUUUGUGGAUAAGGGUAACAGGGAGCAAGCUCUAGGAUUAAAUCCAAGUGUGCUAUAAUUUGGUAGUCCCCAAGCUGUUUUCAGAUUUUCUCAAUGGCUGCUGGCUUUUCAAAUUCUCUUACCAAUGACAAUGUUAUUUUUUGAAAGAGAAGUUGCUAAACUCCAUGUAUGUGGUGUGUGUGUGUGUAUACACAUGUGUACAUGUAGAUAAUUAUGCAGGCAAGAACUAAAUAUUUGAAGAAAAAUUGUAUUGUUCAAAAUUGUUUUUGACCUUUUGUCACAAGCAGAGUUCUCACUCAUGGGCAAUUCAUGGAGCUAAGGGAUAUAAUCUAGUGAACUGACUGAAAUGUGGUAUAAUUAAACGCUUUAGAUUUCAGCUUUCUGUUCCACUUUGGUAGAGGGAGAGAGGAGCAGAAUCUGCUAAAUUAAUACUCAUCUGAAGAAUUUAUAUAUCACGCUAUCAAUUUCCACCCACUCUGCCUGACUUUUGAAAUUCUUUUACUGUAAGAGUUCUGAAAUAAGGAAUUCACGUUGGUUAAAGUAAGUGAAUGAGAAUGACUAGAAAAGGGGGGAAAGGAAUGAAAAUUGAUUAUUAAGGAAAAAAAAGUACCAUUAGGAAACAAUUUUUCUUCUCUUCAAUUGCAAGAUUAAUAUUUUCUAAUACAUUUGAAGACCCUCUGGUACAUCAUUUGCAUUAAUGUGACCCUUUAAGAAAAUUCUGCAUGGGGCAUUGAUCAAGUCAUUAAGUGAUGAUGCUGAGAAAGUCCCUUAAAGACCCUUAAAAAGCUUUUUUUCUUCCAAACGAUCUUUUUACAUCAGAAUACCACCUCAGUGCCAUGCUGCUUGUCAAAUAGAAAAAUAAGCUUAGUUUUUUUCUGUUUUCUGAUAAAAAAUUGUUUAUGGCUGAUAGUACUGAUGAGAAAUUCAUGUCAUUUUUCUUCGUUAAACAUAUAUUUUUAAUUGUGGAUUGUACUACAUGUCUCAUAAAAAGUGUAGAGGUAGUUCUUACUUUUAUGGCAUUUAUAGCGUAGCAAAUUCUUUUGGCUACAAACUAAAAAAUAAAAGCAAACACUUCCUUUGUUCUUUUCAGGACACUUUCCUGCUCUAAUUUUCCUAAACUCUCCUCUGAAAUAUGGCCUUUUGUAGCACCUAGGCCUUUUAACAUAGUUGAUAAAAAGUUGUUCAUUUAGAACAGUUAUUAAUGCAGGUACUCUGGAUGUUAGUAGCAAUUACAUGGGGAAAAAAUUUCAAUGAUUAAUUAAACCUGGGAAUAAGUUUAGAUUAAACAAUGUUAAAUGGACUUCAUUAAUUCAGUAGUCCUCACAGCCUUUAAAAGUAACAAGUCUGUGAUUCUACCAAUGAGGAAUUUAGCAGACAGUUUUCUCCAAAUGUAUUUGACCGUGAAAUCCUUUUCUCAUGAAGGCAUAUUUUGGGAGAGAUCAUUUAGAAAUUGAUAUUAGUAUGGAUAUUAAAAAAUAGGUCAGCUCUGGGUUAGAAUCAGACAGUUCUAGUCCUAGCUGUGCUAUUUAUUAACUAUAUCCCUGGACAUGUCACACAAAAAAACCUCUGAGCCUCAGUUUCCUCGUCUGUAAAUGAGAAUGAGAACACAUUUAAUUUAUACUUGUGAAAAUUUUUUGGAAAACUAUGGGAAAAUGCUCUGUAAAUUUGAAGGCAUUUUAAAAAUAUACGUGUCGUGAAAAUAAUGGGUACAGCAUUAAAAGUUGAUCUCACUAAGACUGUUUGACCUACUCAUUUUUUUAAAAAAGGCUCUUUGUCAUUAGAUUAAUGAUGUGUGAUAAUCAGAUUCCCUGAUUCAGCAAAGGAAGAGUUGUUCUCUUCCAAACCAUUCAGGUAGUGAAGUAUUAACUUUAUGGGAAAUAACCAAGAAGUAAUGAGGCAAACGUUUCCAUCUGGUUCAUUAUUUUAUAACAAUAUCACCUGUGAAUUCUUACAUAGUACUUAACUGAACUAGCAAUUAUAAAUGUUAGAGUAUACUUCAUUACGGUUGGUGAAAUACCAGACAAAUUUUUUUCUCACUUGUAUUAACUUUACAAUACUUAUAAAUGAGGAAGAAAACGUAUCUGAGUAAAUAAUAAAAUGAUUUUGAGUUACAUCCUCCUAGCAUCAACUAGAUGGCUGGUGGAGAUAUUAAUAACCCCAUAAAAUGACAAGCAGCUUGUAGAGAAGUGAGGAAGCAGAGAUUUUAAGACAUUUAGCAUUCCUCACUUGGUUGAUAAUAUUCCCUUAGAAUGAAAUAUAAUUGUUAUGGGCUGAAUAGUGUCCCCUCUCAAUUCACAUUUUGAAGUCCUAAUGCACAGUGCCUCAGAAUAUAGCUGUAUUUGGAGACAGGGUCUUUAUUAUUAUUUUUUGACCACACCCAUGGCAUGUGGAAGUUUGUGGACCAGGAACAAAUCCAUGCCAUAGCAGCAUCCCUGAGCUGCUGCAGUGACAGUGCCAGAUCCUUAACUUCACUCCAGAGAUAGUGUCUUUGAACAGCUAAGAAUGAUAAAAUAAGAAGAUUAAGGAGUUCCCGUAGUGGCGCAGUGGUUAACGAAUCCGACUAGGAACUGUGAGGUUGCAGGUUCGAUCCCUGGCCUUGCUCAGUGGGUUAAGGGUCUGGCAUUGCCAUGAGCUGUGGUGUAGGUUGCAGACGCAGCUCGGAUCCCAAGUUGCUAUGGCUGUGGCGUAGGCUGGCGGCUACAUCUCCAAUUCGACCCGUAGCCUGGGAACCUCCAUAUGUCAUGGGAGUGGCCCAAGAGAGAAGAUUAAGAGAGAGACCUAGUGGAGACCGUCUGUGUACAUAGUGAGAAGAUAACCUCUGUAAGCCAUGGACAGAGGCCUUAGAAUAAACCAAACCUGCCAUUACCUUGAUCUUGGAAAG
rnacentral:lncRNA from 1 species